rnacentral:rRNA from 1 species
AGCAGUAGCCACGGGAAAACAGAGGGUGCAAGCGUUAAUCGGAAUUACUGGGCGUAAAGCGCGCGUAGGUGGUUCGCCAAGUUGGAUGUGAAAUCCCCGGGCUCAACCUGGGAACUGCAUCCAAAACUGGCGAGCUAGAGUAUGGUAGAGGGUGGUGGAAUUUCCUGUGUAGCGGUGAAAUGCGUAGAUAUAGGAAGGAACAUCAGUGGCGAAGGCGACCACCUGGACUGAUACUGACACUGAGGUGCGAAAGCGUGGGGAGCAAACAGGAUUAGAUACCCCAGUAGUCCCUGUCUCUUAUAC